UUCCCACCUUCCUUCCUUCCUAUAAAGAAACCACAGACCAUGGAAAGAAAAAAAACAAUUGUCCAACGUGACCCAGAGUGAGUCAGAGACAGGCUAGACCUUUUGAUAGAAAGUCCCAUGCUUCUUCGGUAGGUGAAAGAGUCCCGGAAGUCAGUUAUGUUCUGCCUUAAGACUGCCCCGUUUGGGGUAAAGAAGGUGCCUUUGAUGGUGGCAGUCCCCGGAUGGGCAGAAGGGAGCCCGCCACUCGGCCUGGGCAGGGAGUGACUAUGCAGGGCAGACUCAAGGAGGUGAGGGACUCGGGGCCGAGGGGGAUGGGAUGAAAAAGCCAGUCAGUGGCUCCUUUCUAUGUCCCGAGAAUGACCUCCUCUAAGCCACACCCAUUGUCACAUGCGGGAAUGGCACCCACGUUUUGACUCGGGGGCUAUGCUGUCCCAAGCCACAUCCUUCUGGGGUGCAGACAACCUCACAGACAGGUCAGAGGCAGUCUAAGUGACAGGAGGCUUCUUCUUCCCAAAGAGUUAGAACUGCAGCAGGAGGGACGAACGUUAGAUAUUAAGGGGAACAGCCUGUCUAGAGAGGACUCCUGGGCUUCAUGCCAAGGAGACUAUGGGCUCUUCUAACAGGGAAUUUUCCCAGCAGCUGUCUAGGAAGACGUUUACCCCGAGGCAAGGGAUUGGUCCCAGUGACCUCAGAAGUCUCCUCUGGGUUUAAGAUUUCUAUGAACUAAAGUCUAUGAGGAUGAAAUGUCUGCGCGUGCGAUUCUGGGGGCCUGGCUUGUCCCCUGUGGGCGGCACGAUCCUGAAGGACCUGUCAUCAUGUCAUCUGUGCAGUCGUACAUGCAAACAUGCCGGACGUCACUCUGUCGAACACGCACCGCGGAGGUAGUCCAGGCACGUUGGGUAGCACAAGUGACUACAUCUGGCCCCAGAGCGAGGGGAAGAAGGUGAGGGGAGCCCGAGGGGGAAAACGGGCCUCUUGGCAUCCAUCCCUGAGGAGGUGGCAUGGAGGAUGCUGGCUGAUACGGUGGCCCUACGGUGUGUGUUGAGACAACGUCUGGUGACACCUUCUCUCACCGUGAGAUGUGAGAGAACACACCCACCCGGAUGUGCCUGGGAUUCCCGUCACAGAUGAAAAACCCGAAUCUCGGCAAGACUGAAUUGCUAGACCAGGGUCAUUCCGCUAGGAAGCGGGACCUCCUGACGGCCAUGCUUUCUCCGCUAGUCCACUCUACCUACAUAUUCAGAUGUUAUUUUUCAAGCAAACCCUCUCAUCACUGGUCUGGGAAAACUCAGCAGAAUGUUAAGGAAGACCUGGCAAGUGCUUGAUUUCAAAGGUCAAAACGUGAGCCUCCCAUUUUACUUUGGUACUGAAGCCGGGCCGGGGGGUGGCGGGAGGGUGUGGGUCGGGAUGAUUGUUACAAGGUGGAUUCUGGGGCUGCUCUGUGGCAAGAGGUCUGCUAGUUUGCAGUCACUUUUCAGAGACAUUCCAGAUGACCUUUCCAAGGAGCCCAGAGACGUUUCUCCUGCCUUCUCACCCCAUCCUUACUGUACCUGGGAGAGCCAUGGGGCUCUGGGGUUGAAAUGGGGCAGGAGAGCAGGACACAGGGUAGAAAGUACCCUACUAAAUUGUUAAAUAAAUUACGGUUACCACACAAUGGCAUAUUAUGCUGCCAUUAACUGUAAUGUUUUCAGAGAAUAAUGACACAGCUCCGAUUCACAGCAGUGGGAGGGAAAGCAAGAGAAAGGGAGAGGAAGAAAGAACCCAAACAAAACACCAGGCAUUCCUCUCCGCUCUCCGCCAGUGGCCUGGCUCAAAACCUCACUCACUUUCCCGGCAAGCUGCCCAGUCUUGCAUCUCUUGAAGGAAAAUUGCAAUGGCCUUGGCCAUUCCUUGGCAUGUCCUCCUUCUCUUGGGGACCCUCCUGCCUCUCUGCUACCCCAUGGCUCCCAGAGCCGGCCACUGACCGCUGACGUGCUCCAGGGACAAGGAGCACUCCCCACCACUGCAGCUACAUCCUCACGGCAGGGAAAGGAGCCACUGGGGCCAGAUCAAUGUGUGUUUCUUAAACCCCGUCCUUUUCCAGAAGUCAGGCUUCCCUAAGUUCAAGAGUGGGUCUCCUUACCAGCAAGCCUAGUGUCAUCUCGCUGACACAUGUAAGACUGGCUCAGACUCUCCUCGAAGACGGACCCCAGUGAAAGCCACUGGCAGCGAAGAUUUGGCCGCAGAUACCCUACCUGGUGUGCCUCGCCCUGCAUCACUUCCUGUGCUUCAAACUCCUUGUCUAUUUGCCAGGCCCGUGGCUGGAGUGUGAUAUCCACCUAUGGCAACUCCUUCUGCUGCCCAGAUAGACUCAAGGCGGACUGCCAAGUCCCCAAGUUCAAGUUCUUCCCAAGCUGGCUCUUCUUUUUACAGCUUCCCCUCCCCCUCUCCCAGAGUGACUCCUCUCCCAAAGAACCGGUUCACGUGCUGAGUCCCCAGGACAUCUUGCAGAGUUUCACCACCCUAGCUGCUCUCCCUGGAACACCUGUCCCCACAGUCUUCUUGGCCUAUCCAAGCCCUGUGCAUCCUUCAAAGCUUCGGGAAGCCUCAAGUUUCUCCCCACCCCUCAUCGCUUCUCUUUCCUCCAAAGUCAGCCAGAAAGCAUUGUUUUUAGCACACGCUGCAUUGCUGUUGUUGGCUCUCUUGUUAUAGGACUGUGUCCUACUCUCCAUCGAAUUAGAGGCUCUUAGGUAAGAGUUCAGGAAUAAUCCCUGGCUCUUCGGCAUCCCGUGAUGGGCAGCAUGAUGCCUCUCCCUCAGUUCUGUGCUCGGCCUGAGUCAUGACAAGCAGGGGACAGGGGACAUGGGGAUGCCCAUGUGCUUUCCUCAGCGACUAGUCUGCCCUGCAUCAUGGCAUGAACCAACGCGCUUGGCUCCAUGAUUUGCCGUAACUGAUGGAGGUAAUGAAGAAGGGGGUGAACAGUUUGGGAAAGGCCCUGAAUGUUGGUCAUCUUGAACCCGCUGGGGAAAAAGCCAAUGUCACUGGGAGGUGGAUGAAAUGGGGCAGAAGGAUGAAGAAUGGUGGGGGAGGCCCCAGCUCUGUCAGUGAAGGACGUGGAACACAGAUGGACCUCGUGCAGGAGAGCUCCAAAGAGCUCUCACAGAUCACACAGAAUGCAUAUGGUAAGUGGCCAACUUCACAGGUCACACAGAAUGCAUAUGGUAAGUGGCCAACUGACAGCAAGAAUGAUCAGGAGCAGAAUGGGGUGGGGUGAGAAUCUCCCUGGAAAGUUCCGGAACAGGGCUCUUCCAGAAGGGGGUCAAACUUAUGGUGGUGCAUGUGGGGCCAGGCAGCAGACACUGUGGGCUUUGGGGACAGACCUGGGCUCAGGUCUUGCUCAACCACUUCCUAGUUCAGUGAUCUUGAACCUGUUAUUUAACCAUUCUGGCCCCGAUCUCCCCAGCUGUGGAAGGACACCGCUCAGGGCUGUGGUGAGAAUCAAUGAAACAAUGGAUGUGCAAAGUAUUCCACAAACUCCACCGCUUUGAAUAAACACCCGUGACCCUUGUUUCUGUUUUUGGAGAAACACUGCACAAGGACAUCAUCCCCUUGACAGCAGCCGGCUGCCCUGUGUAUGCUGGUGACAAAGGCUGGAGGCUCUGUGUCAGCCAGGUGAUGCAAGAUUCUUAGGACGGGGAAGCCCUCUGAGGUCCUGGCCUCUCAGGAGGAACUGGGUGCCACUGACCCUUGUCACUUUUCUCCCCAGUCUCUGAGCCCCACGCUUUCCAACUCACCUCCUACUUUCUCUCAUCCUGAGGGUGAUUUAAGGGCCAUUUCUGCUGCUCUUGGUGAUCCAUCCAGGUGCCCUUGGCAGGAAAGCAGGAGGGAAGGAGGAAAGCGGAAAGCUGGCCCUUGGGAGAGGAGGAGCAGGAGCCCGUGCCGAGGACCUUCCCCGGGCUGGAGCUCCGCAUUCUCCAGACUCUUCCCAUACCGGGUCUGGCCACCAUGAGGGGUAAAGUCCCCCCCCCCCCACCCUUCUUCUCCAGUGCUCUUCUGAACUGACAACCAGCCUCCGAAUAAAAAGUUGUAACUUCUUUUUCAGAGGAAGCUUCUUAAGCAGGCUGUGCCCCACCCUGUGCCUUCCCACCUUCUGUUUCUAUUCUUCUCUCUUUGUCUGAGACUCUGAGCUCCUGCAGAAAAGAUCCUGAGCUGCCAGGCAGCCUCUCUUAAGUAACAGGCAUGUUCACACCCCUGCACACGGAGCAGGAGGAGUGCUCUGGAGCUGGAUAAAAGGGACACGUGUGG